rnacentral:rRNA from 1 species
UAGAUACCCUGGUAGUCCACGCCGUAAACGAUGGAUACUAGCUGUUGGAGGUAUCGACCCCUUCAGUAGCGAAGCUAACGCGUUAAGUAUCCCGCCUGUGGAGUACGGCCGCAAGGCUAAAACAUAAAGGAAUUGACGGGGACCCGCACAAGCGGUGGAUCAUGUUCUUUAAUUCGAUGAUAAACGAAGAACCUUACCAGGGUUUGACAUCCCGAGAAGAUUUACGAAAGUAGAUUGUGCCUUUUGGAAC